rnacentral:lncRNA from 10 species
GGCACUUCCGAGGUCAUUCAUAAACAGGCACAGAGGAGCAAAAAAUUGGAGUCACCCCACGGGCAUGUUCCCAGGCACUGGGACAACUCUUUUCCAAAGAAAGACCCAAAAAUCGUACAAAUAAGUCCAAAUGAAGCAUGAUGGGAAAUCAGGGACUAAUUCUGCUUGGAGGACAGGGAAGGCUUUCAAAGGUCUUACAAUGAAACAUGGCAAUAAACAAAAUCUCAUUUACUGUUGGAAAGAUCUGGGAGCAAUGUUAGAAGAAAAGUUAACAAAAAGGUAAAAGGAUUUUAGGAGCCAAUAUAACUACUAAUAAUGAAAAUACCUGUGAGAAAAUUAUUCCCAACUAGAUGACUACCUAUUACAAAUAAAUAUUUUUCUCUAACCUAU